rnacentral:rRNA from 1 species
CCCGCUGAACUUAAGCAUAUCAUUAAGCGGAGGAAAAGAAACUAACAAGGAUUCCCGUAGUAACGGCGAGUGAAGUGGGAAUAGCUCAAAUUUAAAAUCUGGCCUUUGGCCCGAAUUGUAGUCUAAAGAGGUACUAUCUUGAUUAUAGUGUGUGCACAAGUGUCCUGGAAUGGGCCAUCACAGAGGGUGAGAAUCCCGUUUGGGUACACACAUAUUAAUCAUCUACGAGGUACUCUCUAAGAGUCGAGUUGUUUGGGAAUGCAGCUCAAAAUGGGUGGUAAACUUCAUCCAAGGCUAAAUAUUGGCAAGAGACCGAUAGCGAACAAGUACCGCGAGGGAAAGAUGAAAAGCACCUUGAAAAGGGAGUUAAACAGCGCGUGAAAUUGUUAAAAGGGAAACGAUUGAAGCUAGCAUUGUGCAUACGGUUAUUGUGAAUCGAUGUAGUUGUUGAGAGCGAAAGCCUCACUAAUAUUGUCGUUUCACGGAUAAUGUGUGUACGAGUCAAGGCCGUUUCGAUUUGCCUUAGAAUACAUUGGAAAUGUAGUCAUCAUUCGUGAUAACCUUAUAGUCCAAUGAGAUGAGGUGAAUUGGAAGUGGUAGUAUUACAUGUCGUCGCUCAUUACUUGUAAUGUAUAGACUGCAUGCAGACUAUGCAUAUACAUAGUAAUGACAUUGGUGACAAUCCUAUACGUACUUGACGGAAUGGCUUUAAACGACCCGUCUUGAAACACGG